rnacentral:tRNA from 1 species
UUGAGGGUAGCUUAAAUUUUAAAAGUUUGGGAUUCUUACUCCUAGGAUGUUGUGUGUAACCCCUUAAA